CCUUGAGGCUGCAGGGACCAGCCCUUUGUGGAGAAGCCCAGGCGGCCUAGAAUCCAGUGUCGUCCGUGAGUGCUUGGCUGGUGUUCAAGUGCAUCUUCCAGCCUGAGACCGCGUGGACUCGCUCAUCGUGAGGGCGAGAGGAGGAUAAGCCCAUUGGGCUGUCGGCUGAGAGUGAGCAGAUUGCUGAUGAAAUCCUUGGCAUCGUCGGAGAUCUCAUCGAAUGCCUCGUCGUCGAAGUCCCAGGUGGCUGAGGUAACGUUGGCCAAGGUUUCGUUAUCGUUGUCUCCCAUGAAGGGGGAAAGGCCACUGACUCUGGAGAGACAAGAGCAGGACAGCAGGUGUGGCUAGGAGAGGGCGCGACGACCAGAUGAGGGAAUUGAGGCACAGCCCAGGCUCAAGUCACCUGCCCAAAGAUUCACAGCCAGUGAGAUUGGAAGCCAGGUAUCUGCCUCUAGAGCCUGUCCUCUUAAAUGCUAUACUAUCCUAACAUUUCUGUAAAGAUGAAGUAAAUUGCAGUGUUCAGCACUGGCACCAGGCCUGGUCCACAGUAAGGAGGCGGUCCAUGCCCGGAGAUCUCAUGCAGUUCUGCUGGGUUCCCUCCACUGCCUUACCAAGCUGUGAGUGCAGGAAUGACUUUGUGACCAGCAGCUUAAGCCAAAUAAACUUUAUAAGGUAAAGAAUUUCAAAA
rnacentral:lncRNA from 1 species